rnacentral:rRNA from 1 species
CUGGGAUAACACUGACGUUCAUGCUCGAAAGCGUGGGUAGCAAACAGGAUUAGAUACCCUGGUAGUCCACGCCCUAAACGAUGUCAAUUAGCUGUUGGGCAACUUGAUUGCUUAGUAGCGUAGCUAACGCGUGAAAUUGACCGCCUGGGGAGUACGGUCGCAAGAUUAAAACUCAAAGGAAUUGACGGGGACCCGCACAAGCGGUGGAUGAUGUGGAUUAAUUCGAUGCAACGCGAAGAACCUUACCUGGUCUUGACAUGUACGGAAGAGAGUAGAGAUACUCUUGUGCCUUCGGGAGCCGUAGCACAGGUGCUGCAUGGCUGUCGUCAGCUCGUGUCGUGAGAUGUUGGGUUAAGUCCCGCAACGAGCGCAACCCUUGUCAUUAGUUGCCAUCAUUAAGUUGGGCACUCUAAUGAGACUGCCGGUGACAAACCGGAGGAAGGUGGGGAUGACGUCAAGUCCUCAUGGCCCUUAUGACCAGGGCUUCACACGUCAUACAAUGGUCGGUACAGAGGGUAGCCAAGCCGCGAGGUGGAGCCAAUCCCAGAAAACCGAUCGUAGUCCGGAUUGCACUCUGCAACUCGAGUGCAUGAAGUCGGAAUCGCUAGUAAUCGCAGGUCAGCAUACUGCGGUGAAUACGUUCCCGGGUCUUGUACACACCGCCCGUCACACCAUGGGAGUGGGGGAUACCAGAAGUAGAUAGGGUAACCGCAAGGAGCCCGUUUACCACGGUAUGUUUCAUGACUGGGGUGAAGUCGUAACAAGGUAGCCGUAGGGGAACCUGCGGCUGGAUCACCUCCUUU